rnacentral:lncRNA from 1 species
UUGCCUCAACAUCCCACGCAGUGAGGACCCUCGGGGACCGGUCUCUCAACCCAGGGGACCGGUCCCAGCACAUUGAAAAACUCAGUUUGUCCAGAUUUAUAUUUUAAAAACCAUCCUAAGUCUUCCAAACACUUUUAAACAUUUAUAAAUCAUCAUCAAUGGUAUUUAAACUUACCGAGCAUUAUGCAUUCAUGUUUUGAGUCUUCGAGUCUUCGAUUUUCAUCUCUUCUUCUUCAAACAUUCAAGACUCCGACUAACUUCACGAAAUAUGCCAACAUAAAAACCAUAACACACAUAAGUCCUCAUAUUAUUUACUAACGAUUAGUAAAUACACCAUGCAACUUUUACACAUAAAUACCUCUAAUUUACAACAAUUGCAAAGUAGUCUUUUUACUAAUAAAUUAGUAAACUUUAGUAUUUAACUAUAUUGUAAUUAUAAUUAAUCCAUCUGAUAAACUUCUUUUAUCGUCUCCUAAAUAUCGAUCAU